rnacentral:lncRNA from 1 species
GGCCAGGAAGCAUUCAUCAAGGAGUUCGAGCUCUGUCAGGAGAAGGUGGCCAGGAAAAUUUUCAAGCUCGACCUCAGCUUCUUGGGUGAGGAGUCUGAAGAUGAGGCUGGUCCCUCUCCUGCUGCCACUGCUGCGGCAGCCCCCCUUCCAGGGACACCGAGCUCCCCAACUCCCACUGCAGAGGUCUGAGACCUCCGACUUUGUAUUUUUCUUUUACUGUAAUUUUUCCUUUUUCUUUUUGUAUUUAAGA